AAUUGGAAACAGUUGCUAAGACUGGAUAGGAAAUAAAAAGGCAUCUUUUUAUUUUUAAAAGACCUUUUUCGGAAGGUAUGCUUAAAGAGGGGCUUGCGUCACAUUAGUUAGUUGGCAGGGUAAAGGCCUACCAAGACUAUGAUGUGUAGCUGGACUGAGAGGUUGAACAGCCACAUUGGGACUGAGACACGGCCCAAACUCCUACGGGAGGCAGCAGUAGGGAAUUUUCGGCAAUGGAGGAAACUCUGACCGAGCAACGCCGCGUGAACGAUGAAGUAUUUCGGUAUGUAAAGUUCUUUUAUUGAAGAAGAAAAAAUAGUGGAAAAACUAUCUUGACGAUAUUCAAUGAAUAAGCCCCGGCAAACUAUGUGCCAGCAGCCGCGGUAAUACAUAGGGGGCGAGCGUUAUCCGGAAUUAUUGGGCGUAAAGGGUGCGUAGGCGGUUUAAUAAGUCUAUAGUUUAAUUUCAGUGCUUAACACUGUCCUGCUAUAGAAACUAUUAGACUAGAGUGAGAUAGAGGCAAGUGGAAUUCCAUGUGUAGCGGUAAAAUGCGUAAAUAUAUGGAGGAACACCAGAGGCGUAGGCGGCUUGCUGGGUCUUUACUGACGCUGAGGCACGAAAGCGUGGGGAGCAAACAGGAUUAGAUACCCUGGUAGUCCACGCCGUAAACGAUGAGUACUAAGUGUCGGGAUUACUCGGUACUGAAGUUAACACAUUAAGUACUCCGCCUGAGUAGUACGUACGCAAGUAUGAAACUUAAAGGAAUUGACGGGACUCCGCACAAGCGGUGGAUCAUGUUGUUUAAUUCGAAGAUACACGAAAAACCUUACCAGGUCUUGACAUACUCUGCAAAGCUAUAGCAAUAUAGUGGAGGUUAUCAGGGAUACAGGUGGUGCAUGGUUGUCGUCAGCUCGUGUCGUGAGAUGUUAGGUUAAGUCCUAAAACGAGCGCAACCCUUGUCAUUAGUUGCCAGCAUGUCAUGAUGGGCACUUUAAUGAGACUGCCAAUGAAAAAUUGGAGGAAGGUGAGGAUCACGUCAAAUCAUCAUGCCCCUUAUGAUCUGGGCUACAAACGUGAUACAAUGGCUGUUACAAAGAGUAGCUGAAACGCAAGUUUAUAGCCAAUCUCAUAAAAGCAGUCUCAGUUCGGAUUGAAGUCUGCAACUCGACUUCAUGAAGUUGGAAUCGCUAGUAAUCGCGAAUCAGCAUGUCGCGGUGAAUACGUUCUCGGGGUUUGUACACACCGCCCGUCAAACCACGAAAGUUGGUAAUACUCAAAAACGGUAGCCUAACUUCUUCGGAAGAGGGAACCGUCUAAGGUAGGAUCGAUGAUUGGGGUUAAGUCGUAAC
rnacentral:rRNA from 1 species